GACGAACGCUGGCGGCGUGCCUAAUACAUGCAAGUCGAACGAGAGCGACCGGUGCUUGCACUGGUCAAUCUAGUGGCGAACGGGUGAGUAACACGUGGGUGACCUGCCCAUCAGAGGGGGAUAACAUUCGGAAACGGAUGCUAAAACCGCAUAGGUUCUUGAGCCGCAUGGCUCAAGAAGGAAAAGAGGCUUCGGCUUCUGCUGAUGGAUGGACCCGCGGUGCAUUAGCUAGUUGGUGAGGUAACGGCUCACCAAGGCCGUGAUGCAUAGCCGACCUGAGAGGGUGAUCGGCCACAUUGGGACUGAGACACGGCCCAAACUCCUACGGGAGGCAGCAGUAGGGAAUCUUCCGCAAUGGACGCAAGUCUGACGGAGCAACGCCGCGUGAGUGAAGAAAGAUUUCGGUUCGUAAAACUCUGUUGUUAGAGAAGAACAGCGCAUAGAGUAACUGUUAUGCGUGUGACGGAUCUAACCAGAAAGCCACG
rnacentral:rRNA from 1 species